AGAACGAACGCUGGCGGCAUGCCUAACACAUGCAAGUCGAACGCGUGUAGCGAUACACGAGUGGCGGACGGGUGAGUAACGCGUGGGAACCUGCCCUGGAGUGUGGGAUAACCGAGGGAAACUUCGGCUAAUACCGCAUACGACCUGAGGGUGAAAGAUUUAUCGCUCUAGGAGGGGCCCGCGUCGGAUUAGCUAGUUGGUGGGGUAAAGGCCUACCAAGGCAGUGAUCCGUAGCUGGUCUGAGAGGAUGAUCAGCCACACUGGGACUGAGACACGGCCCAGACUCCUACGGGAGGCAGCAGUGGGAAUAUUGGACAAUGGGGGCAACCCUGAUCCAGCAAUGCCGCGUGAGUGAUGAAGGCCUUAGGGUUGUAAAGCUCUUUCGCGCGCGACGAUGAUGACGGUAGCGCGAGAAGAACGCCCGGCUAACUUCGCGCCAGCACGCCGC
rnacentral:rRNA from 1 species